rnacentral:misc_RNA from 1 species
GUGGGAGGGGGCUUGCCCCCGAUGGCGGAGUGUCAGUUAGCAAAUAUAUCAACUGACCCACCGCCAUCGGGGGCAAGCCCCCUCCCAC